rnacentral:rRNA from 1 species
CUGUUCCUACGGGACGCAGCAGUGGGGGAUAUUGCACAAUGGGGGGAACCCUGAUGCAGCGACGCCGCGUGGGUGAAGGAGUAUUUCGGUAUGUAAAGCCCUAUCGGCAGGGAAGAAGCAAGACGGUACCUGACUAAGAAGCCCCGGCUAACUACGUGCCAGCAGCCGCGGUAAUACGUAGGGGGCGAGCGUUAUCCGGAUUCACUGGGUGUAAAGGGAGCGUAGACGGCCAUGCAAGCCAGGGGGGAAAGCCCGGGGCCCAACCCCGGGACUGCCCUUGGAACUGUGCGGCUA